UACGAAGGGGGCUAGCGUUGCUCGGAAUCACUGGGCGUAAAGCGCACGUAGGCGGAUCUUUAAGUCAGGGGUGAAAUCCUGGAGCUCAACUCCAGAACUGCCUUUGAUACUGAGGGUCUCGAGUCCGGGAGAGGUGAGUUGAACUGCGAGUGUAGAGGUGAAAUUCGUAGAUAUUCGCAAGAACACCAGUGGCGAAGGCGGCUCACUGGCCCGGUACUGACGCUGAGGUGCGAAAGCGUGGGGAGCAAACAGG
rnacentral:rRNA from 1 species